UCUGGUUGAUCCUGCCAGUAGUCAUAUGCUUGUCUCAAAGAUUAAGCCAUGCAUGUCUCAGUGCAAGCCGUCUAGUACGGUGAAACCGCGAAAGGCUCAUUAAAUCAGUUAUGGUUCCUUAGAUCGUACCCACGUUACUUGGAUAACUGUGGUAAUUCUAGAGCUAAUACAUGCCGACAGAGUUCCGACCAACUUACGAGAUUCGUCUUUGCAAGUUCGGAAGGAACGCUUUUAUUAGAUCAAAACCGGCCAGACGGCGGCGUUUCGCAUUCGUGCUGCGUCGUCGUUAGCGGCCCGCGCAAAGAUUUGGUGACUCUGAAUAACUUCGAGCUGAUCGCACGGUCCUCGUACCGGCGACGUAUCUUUCAAAUGUCUGCCUUAUCAACUGUCGACGGUAGGUUCGACGCCUACCGUGGUGGUAACGGGUAACGGGGAAUCAGGGUUCGAUUCCGGAGAGGGAGCCUGAGAAACGGCUACCACAUCCAAGGAAGGCAGCAGGCGCGCAAAUUACCCACUCCCAGCUCGGGGAGGUAGUGACGAAAAAUAACGAUACGGGACUCAUUUGAGGCCCCGUAAUCGGAAUGAGUACACUUUAAAACCUUGGUCACACGAGGAUCAAUUGGAGGGCAAGUCUGGUGCCAGCAGCCGCGGUAAUUCCAGCUCCAAUAGCGUAUAUUAAAGUUGUUGCGGUUAAAAAGCUCGUAGUCGGAUCUGUGUCCUCGCGGCGUCGGACCACUGAGUGUUCGCUGGGUAUCGCUUCGCGCGUUCCCGCGAACCAAGUGAAAGUUCCCGGCGUGUCAGCGGGACGUCCUGCCGGUAGGCGGACACGUGCCCUUCGCGGGUGGCGGCCGCCGUUAAAUCUUGUUCGUGCGCGUUCGCCGGUUGAGUCCGCGCGUUCGCGUACGGCGGGCCGGCACGUUUACUUUGAACAAAUUAGAGUGCUCAAAGCAGGCUCGAAAGUGGCGAGGCGUUUUAACGAGCGUCUCGUCGUAUAGCCCUGAAUAUGGUCGCAUGGAAUAAUGGAACAAGACCUCGGUCCCGCCUCUACGCUGCUCGCAGCGCGUGAACGCAGCCCUCGCGGCUCUUCCGUGCGCGGGUUACCGGUCGGGGUAUCGCGUUCGCGUCCGUCUGCACGUCUGUCCACCGUUGCGGCGGUACAGCACGUCAGCGGGUUACGCAUCGUCGAUGUUCAGCCCCGAUCGUUGGCCGGUUUUCGGGACCGGAGGUAAUGAUCAACAGAGACAGGCGUGGGCAUUCGUACCGCGACGUUAGAGGUGAAAUUCUUGGAUCGUCGCGAGACGAACCGAAGCGAAAGCAUUUGCCAAGUAUGUUCUCGUCUGAUCAAGAACGAAAGUUAGAGGUUCGAAGGCGAUCAGAUACCGCCCUAGUUCUAACCGUAAACGAUGCCAGCUAGCGAUCCGCCGGAGUUCCUCCGAUGACCCGGCGGGCAGCUUCCGGGAAACCGAAGCUUUUCGGUUCCGGGGGAAGUAUGGUUGCAAAGCUGAAACUUAAAGGAAUUGACGGAAGGGCACCACCAGGAGUGGAGCCUGCGGCUUAAUUUGACUCAACACGGGAAACCUCACCAGGCCCGGACACCGGAAAGAUUGACAGAUUGAGAGCUCUUUCUUGAUUCGGUGGGUGGUGGUGCAUGGCCGUUCUUAGUUGGUGGAGCGAUCUGUCUGGUUAAUUCCGAUAACGAACGAGACUCUGUCCUGCUAAAUAGGCGGGUCUUUCGCCGCCCGCGGAUCAGCGUGCGACGGUCACAAGCCGUUGUGCCUGCCGCGGUCCACGGCGAAACGGUAUCCCCGAACGUGGCUGGCCGUCGUUAGCGGCGUUCGCGUUGGUCUGCGUCGCUCGUCGGGCGGUUCGCGCCGUUUCGGCGGGUAGCGCGGCCGAUUGUGGGCGUUGCGCGGCGGUUUUACGCCGCCAAUAGGGCUACCGCCGGCUGAUAAAGCUUAAACUCUUCUUAGAGGGACAGGCGGCGGAUAACACUAGCCGCACGAAACUGAGCGAUAACAGGUCUGUGAUGCCCUUAGAUGUUCUGGGCCGCACGCGCGCUACACUGAAGGAAUCAGCGUGUAAUAUUUCCCGGGCCGAGAGGCUUUACCGGGUAACCCGCUGAACCUCCUUCGUGCUAGGGAUCGGGGCUUGCAAUUGUUCCCCGUGAACGAGGAAUUCCCAGUAAGCGCGAGUCAUCAGCUCGCGUUGAUUACGUCCCUGCCCUUUGUACACACCGCCCGUCGCUACUACCGAUUGAACGACCGCAGUGAGGUCUUCGGACCGAGGUACGGCGGCGUUCGCGCCGAUUUGUACAUUCGGGAAGAUGACCGAACUCGGCCGUUUAGAGGAAGUAAAAGUCGUAACAAGGUUUCCGUAGGUGAACCUGCGGAAG
rnacentral:rRNA from 1 species